rnacentral:rRNA from 1 species
CCUACGGGUGGCAGCAGUGGGGAAUAUUGGGCAAUGGGCGCAAGCCUGACGCAGCAACGCCGCGUGAAGGAAGAAGGCCCUCGGGUUGUAAACUUCUGUUGUCAGGGACGAAACAAAUGACGGUAAAGGACGAAUAAGCCACGGCUAACGACGGGCCAGCAGCCGCGGUAAUACGUAGGUGGCAAGCGUUAUCCGGAUUUACUGGGUGUAAAGGGGGAGGAGGCGGGAGAGCAAUUCAGAUGUGAAAUUGCAGGGCUCAACCCUGGAACUGCAUUUGAAACUGUUUUUCUUGAGUGAUGGAGAGGCAGGCGGAAUUCCGUGUGUAGCGGUGAAAUGCGUAGAUAUCCGGAGGAACACCAGUGGCGAAGGCGGCCUGCUGGACAUUAACUGACGCUGAGGCGCGAAAGCGUGGGGAGCAAACAGGAUUAGAUACCCUUGUAGUC